CAGGACUAGACCCUCCCUACAAGGGAAGUUCUCUCUAAGUUUUGUUCACAAGUUCUUUGUUUUCAAGGACUAUACUUCCAGACUAGAUGGCAAGAACCGGGUCCUGCUUCUGAGUGGGGCUGGACAGGAGGCAGAUGUACCUAGUCAGGCCAAGGGAAGGCAGGAUCAGCACCAUGAAGAUCAAGAAUAUGUAGACCUUGGACACCAUGAUCCGGUUUUCCCCUGACCUGCAGGGGACAGAGACGAGUUGAUCCAGCGAUGUGCCUGCUCCCCCGAGGUGGAGGAGUUGAUCCAGCGAUGCGCCUGCUCCCCCCAGGUGGAGGAGUUGAUCCAGCGAUGCGCCUGCUCUCUCCGCCCCAGGGUGGAGUAAAAGGCAUCCACUCCAGAACAGGCUCAGACUCUGCUUACCUCGUCCAGUGAGACUCCAGCAGUGUGGAGUAGUAGACAAUGGUAGGGAGCAGCGCCGAGAAGGACCAGAG